UGUACCUGGUGUGAUUAUAAAGCAAUGAGACUGAUUGUCAUAUGUCGUUUGUGGGAUCCGUCUCAGUUACUUUAUAGCCAUACCUGGUAUCUUAUAC
ensembl:miRNA